rnacentral:tRNA from 1 species
GCCUGGGUGGCUCAGUGGUUGAGCGUCUGCCUUCGGCUCAGAUGGAAAUUCCAGGCU